rnacentral:tRNA from 1 species
UCCCUGGUGGCUGAGAUGGUAAAGAAUCUGCCUGCAAUGCAGGAGACCCGAGUUCGAUCCUUGGAUUUGGAA